UAUCUGGGGGAUAGCCUUUCGAAAGGAAGAUUAAUACCCCAUAAUAUACUGGAUGGCAUCAUUCGGUAUUGAAAACUCCGGUGGAUAGAGAUGGGCACGCGCAAGAUUAGAUAGUUGGUGAGGUAACGGCUCACCAAGUCUGCGAUCUUUAGGGGGCCUGAGAGGGUGAUCCCCCACACUGGUACUGAGACACGGACCAGACUCCUACGGGAGGCAGCAGUGAGGAAUAUUGGACAAUGGGUGAGAGCCUGAUCCAGCCAUCCCGCGUGAAGGACGACGGCCCUAUGGGUUGUAAACUUCUUUUGUAUAGGGAUAAACCUACUCUCGUGAGAGUAGCUGAAGGUACUAUACGAAUAAGCACCGGCUAACUCCGUGCCAGCAGCCGCGGUAAUACGGAGGGUGCAAGCGUUAUCCGGAUUUAUUGGGUUUAAAGGGUCCGUAGGCGGAUUUGUAAGUCAGUGGUGAAAUCUCACAGCUUAACUGUGAAACUGCCAUUGAUACUGCAAGUCUUGAGUGUUGUUGAAGUAGCUGGAAUAAGUAGUGUAGCGGUGAAAUGCAUAGAUAUUACUUAGAACACCAAUUGCGAAGGCAGGUUACUAAGCAACAACUGACGCUGAUGGACGAAAGCGUGGGGAGCGAACAGGAUUAGAUACCCUGGUAGUCCACGCCGUAAACGAUGCUAACUCGUUUUUGGGCUUUCGGGUUCAGAGACUAAGCGAAAGUGAUAAGUUAGCCACCUGGGGAGUACGAACGCAAGUUUGAAACUCAAAGGAAUUGACGGGGGCCCGCACAAGCGGUGGAUUAUGUGGUUUAAUUCGAUGAUACGCGAGGAACCUUACCAAGGCUUAAAUGGGAAAUGACAGGUUUAGAAAUAGACUUUUCUUCGGACAUUUUUCAAGGUGCUGCAUGGUUGUCGUCAGCUCGUGCCGUGAGGUGUUAGGUUAAGUCCUGCAACGAGCGCAACCCCUGUCACUAGUUGCCAUCAUUAAGUUGGGGACUCUAGUGAGACUGCCUACGCAAGUAGAGAGGAAGGUGGGGAUGACGUCAAAUCAUCACGGCCCUUACGCCUUGGGCCACACACGUAAUACAAUGGCCGGUACAGAGGGCAGCUACACAGCGAUGUGAUGCAAAUCUCGAAAGCCGGUCUCAGUUCGGAUUGGAGUCUGCAACUCGACUCUAUGAAGCUGGAAUCGCUAGUAAUCGCGCAUCAGCCAUGGCGCGGUGAAUACGUUCCCGG
rnacentral:rRNA from 1 species